UACGAAGGGGGCUAGCGUUGUCCGGAAUCAUUGGGCGUAAAGCGCGCGUAGGCGGCCCGGUAAGUCCGCUGUAAAAGUCAGGGGCUCAACCCUUGAACGCCGGUGGAUACUGCCGGGCUAGAGUCCGGAAGAGGCGAGUGGAAUUCCCGGUGUAGCGGUGAAAUGCGCAGAUAUCGGGAGGAACACCAAUGGCGAAGGCAGCUCGCUGGGACGUUACUGACGCUGAGACGCGAAAGCGUGGGGAGCAAACAGG
rnacentral:rRNA from 1 species